UCUCUUAACCUUGGAAAUCCCCCUUUUUUCCCUAAAACUCGCAUAUCUUGUGUCCAUCUUAUAGGGGAUUCGAAUUUUGAAAUCCAAAAAUGUAGGUAUCCCCCAAAUCUCAGAAUUCAUCGGCGACCAUCUCUUUUUCUCUCCUAAUUCACCAUAUCGCCUCCUACCCUUACAUCUAUGCUUUUUCCAAUUGUUAACAACCCCAUGGUUUUUAAGUGAAGUCGCUAACGAGUGGACUUUCUGAAGACAUACGAUGCUCGAUAGGGUUUUACGGGUGGGAGGAGAAGCGGUGAAAGCUUUAGCUUAAAGUUGUACCAGACACCCAAUUUAGCAAGCAUCUUUUUCUUAGAUAAGGAAGAUGUCAAUUAAUUUUGUAGAAGUUAAUGUGCUUCAGCAGUUUCUCCAUCAAAAUAUGAGAUUAAUGAGGGAAAGAAAGACUAUUUUGGUUUGUUGUGAUCUAAUUUGUGCUAAUGUGCUGCAUGAAAAGAAAAAUGAUUUUCUUGCUGGAGGAUCAAACCUAAAGUAAUGAUAUAUGCAGAUUGAGAUGCUAAAAGUUGGUUAAAAGGGAAGAGUAUGGAGAAUUAUAUAUGCAUACUUGGUCUUCGUUCAAGCUUUAUCAUGUUUGAGAGGAAUAAGGGGUAUUUUUAGGAAUUUAAGUCAUGAUCCUACUUAUGUUACGAAAUUGGUGUAAGAAAAUUUGUACUAAAAUUGUUAGAUCUUAUGGUUGGAAUUUAAGUCAUAAUCCUACUUUUGUUACUAAAA